AUGAAAAACAAAAUAGCUCAACUUACCCGACUCUCCCCUACUGUAAUUUAGCCAUUGAACUUUAUUUCAGGUCAGAGGCUCAACUGUUAUCUAGGAAGAUAGAAGGAGCACUGCAGUUGACCCACACUCAAUCUGGGUAUGUGAUAAGAGAGAUAACAAUUAUGAAAUUACAGCAUAUUGCCCAAGUUAGCUCAUGCCAAGUAAUUUGCUUUGCUCAAGCCUGCAGUAAUACAACUUAUCAAACUAGUAUUUUUAACUUGAUAUUUUUGGUCAUGGAUAGUAUUCCUCCAUGCAGCUCCCCAUCAGAGUUCAAAAUAUACCAUCAGCUAUUUGUAACUAUACUUAGACUACUGCAGCAAACGUGUGGCUACUAUGGGAAACCUCGCAUUUCUAACUAAAAGGAAUGUCAUUUAUAGAUAUUUACCUGAUCACAAAGGAAACUAAACAUACUAAAAUUAUAUGGGAAACCUCGCAUUUCUAACUAAAAGGAAUGUCAUUUAUAGAUAUUUACCUGAUCACAAAGGAAACUAAACAUACUAAAAUUAUUUGUAUAUCAUGACACAGUUAGUAGUAGAACCUGAAAAAUCAGUUAAAGAAAAAAGUAGGGCUGUCAAAGUUAACAUGUUUCUCGGCAAACAAAAAAUUAUAACGUUAAUCGAGUCUCUAUUUCUUCACCGCACGGAACUCUUUAAGCGCACAUGUUUCCGCACGGACCUUUUUAUGAGCAGAACACAACACGGAACACAGCUAUAAUCAAUGCUUGCGCUUUUACAGCGCUGAAGACCGUGUGGCUAGCUAGCAGAUUACUUGACCACUGACUAGACUAUGCACAAAUAUGGAUGGCACAGGUUAGAACUGAAAAGGAAUAGGCUACUCAAAUACAUUUUUCAAAAGGCAGGCCAGGUGGGAAGCUAUAUACCAGGCCGGAGAGAGUUCAAGACUACCAUGGGUCCCCAUAACACAAAGGAGUCUGAACCUCGUGUUGCAAUAAGAAAAAACAAGUCUGACUACUGUUUGACAGUACACAUCUGAUGAACUGAACCCAUGAAAAGUAGUUUCCACUGUUCAGCGGGACCUCAGACUGAUCAGCUACUCGUAGAUGAACAACAGCAGGAGUGGACGCUCAGACUGAUCCAGCUACUGUAGAGAACAACAGCACGGAGGUGGACGCUCAGACUGAUCCAGCUACUGUAGAUGAACAACAGCAGGCUAGCCAGGAGGGACGUGCAAGGAUGUUUUCCACACCCGUGCAAACAAUAACACACAGACCAGACUACUCAUUCACUUCAAACAAGACUGAAACAACCAGCUAUUGAUGUUUAACUGCAGGUCAAAUCAAAUGUUAUUGUAGGUGCAGCGAAAUGCUUGUGUUCUAGCUCCCACAGUGCAGUAAUAAUACCUAGAAAUAAACGCAUAAUCCAACAAGAAUGAAAGACAUUUUAAAAAAAUCAGAAUGAGCAAUGUAAGAGUGCGGAAUAUACAUGACCAAGAGUAUGCUCCUCAACAAACAUCUACUUCCAAAAUCAUGGGCAUUUAAUAUGGAGUUGGUCCCCCUUUGCUGCUAUAACAGCCUCUACUCUUCUGGGAAGGCUUUCCAUUAGAAGUUGGAAAAUUUCUGCGGAACCUGCUUCCAUUCAGCCACAAGGCAUUAGUGAGGUCGGGCAUGUGUUAUU